UGACUUUGCGCAUGCGGGAACUCACUGUCGUGUAUGUGUGCGCGCGCGGCAGCCGUCGGAUGCUCAUGGCCGUUGGAUUUUUGUGACAAAGACGAUUACUUUCUUCUGCUCCUCCUCGGUAUCUGGCGAUAACACGCCCUGUUGUGUGUGCCAGGGCUUUCCCACUAGAUGGUGCUGUCAAGCUACCAUCUUCUGUUCACCAGACCUGGGAAGAGAUGAGGUUUCUGCUAAGGAAGCCUGACUUUACAUGGCCUCUGACCCUGGCUGGGCUGAGCUGGAUGGACUCUGGAUUGGCCCUGCUGCUCCUCCAACUGGCUCGUAUCCAACAUAACCCCGCUGGACCCGAGUGUGUGGCUGUGUGUGUGUUUGCAUGUCUAGAUACACAUCUUCAAGUGCUAUUAAUUUCUGUGUCACUCUGUGGUUCAAAAAGCACAGGUAUUAUGGGUAAUACCUUUCUGUUAUUGAUUUUAUUUGCCUACUAAAACAUGCUAUUAUUCUAUUGUGUUUUUGUGUUUUGUAUUUGUUAAAAGCUGCACUUAAAUGAGUUAAACUAAAUUAAAAUGUCUUCAUGUACUUCUACAGAAAUUGAAACCUCUUGUUCGUGCUGCACCCAUAAUUCCAGUGUUUUACAAGCUUCUAACCGGCCGUUUGUUGUUAUUCAUUUCUUGAUGUUGUGAAGCUUAAAUCCAUUAAAGUUGGCAACAGUGAAGUGA